GAUGAACGCUAGCUACAGGCUUAACACAUGCAAGUCGAGGGGCAGCAUGGUCUUAGCUUGCUAAGGCCGAUGGCGACCGGCGCACGGGUGAGUAACGCGUAUCCAACCUGCCUUACACUCUUGGACAGCCUUCUGAAAGGGAGAUUAAUACAAGAUGUUAUCAUGAGUAAGCAUUUUCGCAUGAUUAAAGGUUUACCGGUGUAAGAUGGGGAUGCGUUCCAUUAGAUAGUAGGCGGGGUAACGGCCCACCUAGUCUUCGAUGGAUAGGGGUUCUGAGAGGAAGGUCCCCCACAUUGGAACUGAGACACGGUCCAAACUCCUACGGGAGGCAGCAGUGAGGAAUAUUGGUCAAUGGACGAGAGUCUGAACCAGCCAAGUAGCGUGAAGGAUGAAGGUUCUAUGGAUUGUAAACUUCUUUUAUACGGGAAUAAACGGAUCCACGUGUGGAUUUUUGCAUGUACCGUAUGAAUAAGGAUCGGCUAACUCCGUGCUAGCAGCCGCGGUAAUACGGAGGAUCCGAGCGUUAUCCGGAUUUAUUGGGUUUAAAGGGAGCGUAGAUGGGUUGUUAAGUCAGUUGUGAAAGUUUGCGGCUCAACCGUAAAAUUGCAAUUGAUACUGGCAGUCUUGAGUACAGUUGAGGUAGGCGGAAUUCGUGGUGUAGCGGUGAAAUGCUUAGAUAUCACGAAGAACUCCGAUUGCGAAGGCAGCUUACUAACCUGUAACUGACAUUGAUGCUCGAAAGUGUGGGUAUCAAACAGGAUUAGAUACCCUGGUAGUCCACACGGUAAACGAUGAAUACUCGCUGUAGGCGAUAUACAGUCUGCGGCCAAGCGAAAGCAUUAAGUAUUCCACCUGGGGAGUACGCCGGCAACGGUGAAACUCAAAGGAAUUGACGGGGGCCCGCACAAGCGGAGGAACAUGUGGUUUAAUUCGAUGAUACGCGAGGAACCUUACCCGGGCUUAAAUUGCAACCGAAUAUGGCGGAAACGCUAUAGCUAGCAAUAGCGGUUGUGAAGGUGCUGCAUGGUUGUCGUCAGCUCGUGCCGUGAGGUGUCGGCUUAAGUGCCAUAACGAGCGCAACCCUUGCCGAUAGUUACUAACAGGUCAUGCUGAGGACUCUGUCGGGACUGCCAUCGUAAGAUGUGAGGAAGGUGGGGAUGACGUCAAAUCAGCACGGCCCUUACGUCCGGGGCUACACACGUGUUACAAUGGGGGGUACAGAGGGCUGCUACCACGCAAGUGGAUGCCAAUCCCAAAAACCUCUCUCAGUUCGGAUUGAAGUCUGCAACCCGACUUCAUGAAGCUGGAUUCGCUAGUAAUCGCGCAUCAGCCACGGCGCGGUGAAUACGUUCCCGGGCCUUGUACACACCGCCCGUCAAGCCAUGGGAGCCGGGGGUACAAGAAGUGCGUAACCGCAAGGAGCGCCCUAGGGUA
rnacentral:rRNA from 1 species